ensembl:lincRNA
CUCCUUUGUUCUUGGUUUUAAUUUCACUCAAACUAUGCCUGAGUUUCCAGUGCUCUUCUUCCCCUUUCGAUGCAAUUGCAGUUCAGUAAUUUGCACUUCUGUCAUCCCUUUCAUCCAGGGAAUCACAAGACCAUCUGAAGCUUGCUCUGAUGAACUUCAGAAAGGUGUUGUAACAGGACAUAGAAUGAGCACUGGUGAAUCUCUUGAGAGGUUACAGAAAUCACUGCCAAAACCAUGACCACGUCCAGGCAGGACAGGGCACCAGAAGGACCACCUUUCAGAUGGGGAAGUUAGACCUCUUGGAGGUAACUUGCGAGCAAGGAAUUGAAGGUUGUUGUUUUAGUUGGGGUUUUCUAGAGAAACAGAAUCAAUGGAAAAUAUAUGUGUAAUUGUGCAAAGGGAUUUACUCGGUAGCUUGCAGGAUCAGAGUUGGACCGUCCAUAGGGGCGGUCUGUGGAGUCAGAAGCUGAGGAAGACACACUAACGAGCUGCAGGAUCCAGUAGCAGUUGAAGGUCGAAGGCCUGAAAGCUCACCGCAGUCUCCAGUGCUGGUCUGCAUUUCAGGCUGAUGGAACCAGAGACUGAUGUCCAAAGGCAACAGUGAAGACUGGAGCUCUUCCAAUGCAGAACACUUCCUUCUUUCUCUUUAUUACCUCCAGGCUAGCAGCCACUCACAUCUGGAAUGGGUCUUCCUUCCUUGUUUUGCUGGCCUAUACGUCAGUCACCCUCAAACACACCUAGACAUUUACAGCUCUGCUGAGCAGUUAUUACUCAAGUCAAACUGACAUACUGCAAUUAACAAACACAGAAGUUAGUGACUGAGCGAGGUAAUUACGGGGGGCUGCAGCUUAAACUGCUUGGACACGUAAGGCCUUCAGAGAGGGAUGUGCUGGUCAUUCAGAGACCUAUAAGAAGACUACGAUUGCCAACCAGAGUGAGCACGGGACAGUGUGGCAAGCGAGGGCAUGAGGCCACAUUAUAAGCCAUUUGUAGGACUUCACAAGGACAUUGCUUUCCUGCUGAGAUGUCUUGAUAGGUUUUGUUUUAGCUUGCAACGAAAAUCAUUUCAUUGUGGUGGUGAUCCCAGCUACCACUUGAGGGGCUGAAGUAGAUAGAGCAUAAGUCUGAGGCCAACUUAGCAAGAUCCUGUCUCAAAAUAAGAUAAAAAGGGCUGGGGUUGUAGCUCCGUGACAGAGUGCUUGAUGCGCAAGUCUCUGGGUUUGAUCACCAUAACCAUACAAAGAAAGAAAGAAAGAAAGAAAGAAAGAAAGAAAGAAAGAAAGAGAAAAAGAAAAAUUCAUUUCAUUUGAAGCCAAUGCUUAAUUUACCUUUUGUCUAACAGAGUAAAACUAUGUAAGAUAUUAAGUGGGCCCAAUCUAUAGUUAAUAAACAGUAUAUGUACAAGCAAGCAGAGACUCAAAGUUCCAGUUACAGCAUGUGUGUGGUGCUUAGCUCGGAUAGAUGGCAGUAGCUGAACCCUUUCACCAUGCGUACCUUUCUGUACUUACAUUGUUGACUCCAUUACCACUUCCCGUAGGGACCCAGUCUCCAAACCCA